GCCUCUGUGGAUUAACAUGAGAUCACCUCUUCGAAAUAUUGUUGCAGGCACAUUUCAGUUCAAGAGGAGCCGUGGGUUCGAAUCUCACCGGAGGUA